UCCUGAUUUCGGUGGUCGGCACCGCGUGUCAUUCCUCCCCCAGCCAUUUCUUUCUGAGACGGAGCUAGGGAGGAGGGCGAGAGACUUGGUCAUGGCGGAGAGACCGUCGGAGAGCGCGACGGAUCGAGGAGGCUGGAGGGCAUGUCGCCGCCGACGGGCUUUGGUAGACAUUCAGUUCCUGUCCCACUCUUUCUCCGGCCGCGCAUCUCCUCCGUUUUCUCUGACGAAUUACCAGCAGCAGCAGAAGACCGCCAAGGCCAAGACCAAAUUCAGCAAGCUCGGCGCUCUGGCCAACGACCACCGCCGGAUGCUCCGCGGCCUCGACGACUCCCCGACACAACAGUAGGCAUGGACAUACAAAUGGGAGAGGUUAAUAUCUACUUGCUUGAUCAAGAAAGAGCUAGGGAGAGAGAUAGAGAGAAAGGGGGGAGUGGGGAUGACAUGCUGCUUUAUGAGAUUCAAAGGCGUGGUGGCUGUUGUUCUCUUUGCGUGGGGACGAAGAAGAGAGGCACGUGUGGCAGAGAAGUGUGGGGCAGUUGAUUGAAGGGGCCAAGAUAUACAAGGCCGAGGUUCUCCGUUCUUUUCGUAAAGCCUAGAAGUAGCCAUACGCAUCCAUGUCUUCAUUACCAAGGGCGCGAAAAGAAGACUGAAAAUGAGCUAGGAUUAGUCGAGGUAAAAAAACCCGGGGAAAAACCGGACUCAAUGAUAACGAGCAUAUUGUUUUUUUGUCAUGUCCGAACUGACAAAAACGAAAUAAUGAGUUAAUGAAUACUACUGAAGUCAAAAGCUGACUUAUGCCGAA